GGCAGCGACGGCAAGCGGCUAUGCCAGCUGGUCCUGAAAACCGGCGGCCGCCGGAAGGUGGUUUGGGGGUUCGACGCCCUCCGCUGCCGCCA
rnacentral:tRNA from 1 species